rnacentral:rRNA from 1 species
AAUAGAUACCCGGGUAGUCCACGCCGUAAACGAUGAGUGCUAAGUGUUGGGGGGGUUUCCGCCCCUCAGUGCUGCAGCUAACGCAUUAAGCACUCCGCCUGGGGAGUACGGUCGCAAGACUGAAACUCAAAGGAAUUGACGGGGGCCCGCACAAGCGGUGGAGCAUGUGGUUUAAUUCGAAGCAACGCGAAGAACCUUACCAGGUCUUGACAUCCCGGUGACCACUAUGGAGACAUAGUUUCCCCUUCGGGGGCAACGGUGACAGGUGGUGCAUGGUUGUCGUCAGCUCGUGUCGUGAGAUGUUGGGUUAAGUCCCGCAACGAGCGCAACCCUUAUUCUUAGUUGCCAUCAUUCAGUUGGGCACUCUAAGGAGACUGCCGGUGAUAAACCGGAGGAAGGUGGGGAUGACGUCAAAUCAUCAUGCCCCUUAUGACCUGGGCUACACACGUGCUACAAUGGACGGUACAAACGGUUGCCAACCGCGAGGGGAGCUAAUCCGAUAAACCGUUCUCAGUUCGGAUUGUAGGCUGCAACUCGCCUACA